UCUCUCGUUCUUCAGAGAAAUCGAAAUCAGAAAUCCAAAUCCAAAUCUCACCAUUUUGUUCUCUUAGAUCAUUUCGAUAAGCUUUUUUCUGUCCUGCAUGGGGAUUCGAAUGGAUUAAUGGUGUGGAAGACCAGCUAUUUUGGACGAAAAUCUCUCUCACGGAAUAUCAGAUAAGUUUCGAGAAUCUCUUAAAUUCUGUAGAUGAAUCGGUUAAUUAUGCUUGAUGAAUCGUUUUAUUUGUGGAAGCUCUUCGAAUUUGUUUUCGAUUAGUUAGGGUUUCCCGUGAUGUAAUCUCUUAAAUUUCUAGUGAUGAAUCGGUUAAAUCCACUUGAUGAAUGAGUUGUGCUCAUCGAAUUUGUUUGCCAUGAGUUAGGGUUUCUCGUGAAGGAAUAGAUCUAUAUUAAUUGUGUGAUGUGCUUAGAUGAGUCGACCAAUUGAUUAUUGUCUGUGAUGUUGUGAAUUCAGCGAGAAGGGUGAAUCUGCAUUCAGUUGAUCAAUAUCAAGCUCGACACAAGGGUUGUUGAUCAAGACAAAUACACAUGGCUCUUGGUGACGAUUCAAAAGGGUCUAUAGGAUAUACAGUGUCGAAAUCCUUCAUGGCAAUGGAACGUGAACCCUGGUUCUUGUGAAGAUUUUGUUGCCAAGCUGAUUGAACUUUUGGGAAGUCCAAAAGAAGCUUCGGUGAAGGAGGUGCAGGACAUGACGGUCCGUGUUUUAUCCAAGACCCCACCCGCCGCUGCCGAGAACAGAAGAAAACAAGCUAACAAGGAGUUUAGUUCCAGCACAAACGUUACCACACUCGGCAUAUUCUUACUCUCAAGGUUAGUUCGAUUGAUAAUAAUGAUUAUACAUGAACAAAAUUACUAUUUUUUUCGAAAUCACUUUGUUUGAAUGCGUUUUGUAUGUUUUUGUCUCUUAUGCCCAGUGUUCGGAUAUUUACGUGGUUAGUAGAGACUGAGUUUCGGAUAUCUUGUUUCUCUUGGAUAUUGGUUUUGGUUCCUUUAUUUUAUUUAUGGGCAAAGACAGGUGAAAAAGGAACAAGAAUA